GGGCCUGUAGCUCAGUGGCUAGAGUGCCAGCCACAUACACUGGAACUGGCGGGUUCAAAUCCAGCCAGGGCCU
rnacentral:tRNA from 1 species